rnacentral:rRNA from 1 species
UACGAAGGGGGCUAGCGUUGCUCGGAUUGACUGGGCGUAAAGGGCGCGUAGGCGGUUCGUACAGUCAGACGUGAAAUUCCUGGGCUCAACCUGGGGGCUGCGUUUGAUACGUGCGGACUUGAGUGCGGAAGAGGGUCGUGGAAUUCCCAGUGUAGAGGUGAAAUUCGUAGAUAUUGGGAAGAACACCGGUGGCGAAGGCGGCUCACUGGCUCGUUUCUGACGCUCAGGCGCGACAGCGUGGGGAUCAAACAGG